AGUAACACGUGGGUAACCUGCCUUGAUGAUUGGGACAACCCCGGGAAACCGGGGCUAAUACCAAAUGUGCUCCUUCCCUUUGAGGGGAUGGUGGAAAGGAAGCUUCGGCCUCCGCAUCGAGAUGGGCCCGCGGCGCAUUAGCUUGUUGGUGGGGUAACGGCCUACCAAGGCGACGAUGCGUAGCUGGUCUGAGAGGACGAUCAGCCACACUGGGACUGAGACACGGCCCAG
rnacentral:rRNA from 1 species